CCUACGGGAGGCAGCAGUGGGGAAUAUUGCACAAUGGGGGAAACCCUGAUGCAGCGACGCCGCGUGAGUGAAGAAGUAAUUCGUUAUGUAAAGCUCUAUCAGCAGGGAAGAAAAUGACGGUACCUGAGUAAGAAGCCCCGGCUAACUACGUGCCAGCAGCCGCGGUAAUACGUAGGGGGCAAGCGUUAUCCGGAUUUACUGGGUGUAAAGGGAGCGUAGACGGCAGUGCAAGUCUGGAGUGAAAGGCGGGGGCUCAACCCCCGGAAUGCUCUGGAAACUGUACGGCUGGAGUGCAGGAGAGGUAAGUGGAAUUCCUAGUGUAGCGGUGAAAUGCGGAGAUAUUAGGAGGAACACCAGUGGCGAAGGCGGCUUACUGGACUGUAACUGACGUUGAGGCUCGAAAGCGUGGGGAGCAAACAGGAUUAGAUACCCCUGUAGUC
rnacentral:rRNA from 1 species